CACGUAGGGGGGCGAGCGUUGUCCGGAUUUAUUGGGCGUAAAGAGCUCGUAGGUGGCUCGGUAAGUCGGGUGUGAAAAUUUCGAGGCUCAACCUCGAGACGCCACCUGAUACUGCUGUGGCUAGAGUCCGGUAGGGGGAGCGUGGAAUUCCUGGUGUAGCGGUGAAAUGCGCAGAUAUCAGGAGGAACACCAGCGGCGAAGGCGGCGCUCUGGGCCGGUACUGACACUGAGGAGCGAAAGCGUGGGGAUCAAACAGG
rnacentral:rRNA from 1 species